GCUGCUCCUUUCCGCCCUUGCCUGGUCCGCCAGGUGCAAUUGGGGUCGCCCGGAUGGUAGGGGUAUGGAACGUUUUUCCCGGAAAUGCCACCACUAUGGAUCAGAUUUAUGAAUGAGUACCUUUUUUCAUUCUUGUACUACAGCCAUCUCUAGAGGUUACCUAUCAGUUGAGCUGAGAACGGGGAGUUGUUGCAGAUGGAGAUGGGAGGUUGCAAUUUAAAAAUGAUUUUUUUUUUUAGUGGGGCGGGGACAGGGUCUCCCUCUGUUACCCAGGCUGGAGUGCAGUGGUGCGAUCACGGCUCACUGCAGCGUCGACCAAUGGGGCUCAAGCAAUCCUCCCACCUCAGCCUCCUGAGUAGCUAGGAAUACAGUCGUGCGCCACCACGCCCGCCUAAUUUUUGGUAGAGAUGGGUUUCGCCCUGUUGUCCAGGCUGGUCUCGAACUCCUGGGAUCUAGCCAACCUCCCGCCUCAGCCUCCCAAGGUCCUGGGAUUACAGGCGUGAGCACCGUGCCUGGCCUGCAAAAUGAUCUUUUGCUGUUGUUAAUAUUAUUUCAGGCCGGGCGCCGUGGCUUACGCCUGUAAUCCCAGGACUUUGGGAGGCCGAGGUGGGCGGAUCACCUGAGGUCAGGAUUCGAGACCAGCUUGGCCAACAUGGUGAAACCCUGUCUCUACUAAAAAUACAAAAAUUAGCCGGGCGUGGUGGCGGGCGCCUGUAAUCCCAGCUACUUGGGAGGCCGAGGCAGGAGAAUUGCUUGAACCCGGAAGGCAGAGGUUGCAGUGAGCCGAGACCGCACCAUCGCACUCCAGCCUGGGCAACAACAGCAAAACUCCGUCUCAAAAAAUAAUAAUAUUAUUAUUACAGACAGCGCAGAAGGCUUGCAAUCAUGAUAAAGAUAUUCCCUAGGUCCUACGCUGAUGUCUUAUUCUAUUCUCUCCUUUGCUCACUCCGCCCCAGCCUCCCCACCCUCCUUGCUCUUCAUUCAAUGUGCCAGGCAUGCUACUUCCCCGGGACCUUGAUUGUCUUUCCCCAGAUGUCUGCCUAGUUUUUACCCUUACUUCCGUUUUCAGCUUGAAUGGCAUCCUAUUGACCACCACAAUUAAAAUAGCGAGCUCUGCCCAACCCUGCCGAAUCAUCUUAUCCUUCUUUAUUUUUCUUCCUAGCACUCAACAUUUACAUUGAUGUCACUGCCCUCUGUUUAGUGUUCCAUGAGGUCAGGGGCUUUGUUUUGUUUUCUGCUGUAAUCGCAUGUCCUUAGAGACUUGGCACAGAAUAAAUGACCAUUAAAUAUUGUCGAAUAGAUAAAUAUCUUUUUUUCCCCACCAUAAUGUUUGGCAAAGCUGAAAACGAAUGGAAACAUCCAGUACAGGUGUAUAUGUGGAAGAAUCAUACCACAACCUUUUUACAAGGCAAAGUGGUAAAACAUAUGAAAAUUUCAAAUGUUCAUAUUCUAUGACCCCCUCAAAUUCCAUGAUGUAUAAUAUAGAUAAUUGUUCAUUGCUGUAUUGCUUGCAAUAAUGAAACACUGGAAAUAAUCUAAAUGUGUAUAAUGUCUUCUAACUUUUAAAAUGCAGUAAACUGCUAUAUAGCCUUUAAAAAGAAUAUACCAACAUGGAAUGAAGACCAAAAUAUAUUGCAGUCGAUACGUACAGUUUUUUUCUGACCAGACUCCUCCCCCCACUGUCCUUUAUGAUCUCCCCAAGUUGACCCAGGCAGGCCACAGAAUGAAAUCUGGCUGACUCUAGGCCAACUGAAGCCUCUUCUUGGGAUUUAGAAUUCGACUAAGGUGCUAGUAUAGUCUGGUUACUCUACUUGAACUCUGAGGUCCUACAAAGCUGGAACUUUUUGGUGGCCAUGUUCUUUCAAAGUGAGGAGCCAGAAAGCCUGUCUUCACAGUGAGAAAAACAAAGUUGAUUGAGAAGAAAGAAAAGAUAGGAAAGGCCUAACAUUCAAGGCCUGUGUUAUGAUUUCUCUUCAGGACCAGUUUUAUUCCUGUCCUUGGUUUACAAAUACCACAUAUAUUUGUGGUAUUUGUAAUACCACAUAUAUUUGUGGUAUUUGUGGCUUACUUGAAAGGAUUGACCCUAAACUCUUAAAAUAAGUUACCUUUAGGGAUGAGAUAUGGGCAGGGAAAGGAGGAAAUGGGGAGUUUAAUUUUUACUUUAUAUACUUUUGUUUUUUUGAGACAGUCUCGCUCUGUUGCCCAGCCUGGAGUGCAGUGCCACAAUCUUGACUCACUGCAACCUCUGCUUCCCAGGUUCAAGCGAUUCUCCCAUCUCAGCCUCCAAGUAGCUGGGAUUACAGGCGCAUGCUACCACACCUGGCUAGUUUUUGUAUUUUUAGUAGAGAUGAGUUUUCACCAUGUUGGCCAGGCUGGUCUUGAACUCCUGACCUCAGGUGAUCCACCCACCUCACUUCCCAAAGUGCUGGGAUUACAGACGUGAGCCACUGCGCCCAGCCCACUUUAUAUACUUUUGACUGUGAAUUUUUUUCUG
rnacentral:lncRNA from 1 species